AUUGCUUCUCAGCGUUUUGGCUAAGAUCAAGUGUAGUAUCUGUUCUCAUCAGUUUAAUAUCUGAUACAUCCUCUAUCCAAUGGAGGUGCAAAUUUCAUGGAGUCAAAGGUCUUCCUGUUUUGUUCAAUCCCAUCACUUCAGCAUUUGUCAUUUAGCAGAUUUAUUAAAAGUUUGUAUGGAAAUGAAUUU